UCGUUUUCGUUUUUGUUUUGUUUUGUUUUGGAUCAGCUGCCCCGCUCAAAUAGAUCGGUAGCCGCCGGGUGGUGGGUUAGAGAGAGGAGGGGGAGGAGCCGGUGGACGAGGAGGGCUUCGCGGCUUUGGGAUUGAGGUGGCUAGAGAGAGGUGGGGCCCCCUCCGCUACCGCCGCCGCGGCCGCCGCCCUCCCGUCCCUCCGCCGUACCUGCGGCGCGAGGAGCUGCUGUAGUAGGCGGCAGACGAGCUCCACGCCUGCCGCGCGGGGCCGUUCGUCCACGUCGAGAGGCUCAGCCUCUAGGCGGUCGAGACGUGGCGGAGGGCGCUGUAGAAGGAGUGGGUCGGGUUGGAGGAGCUCGAGCUCCGCGGGUAGUUCUAGACGCCACUAUAGGUACCAGUCAUGUCACUAGAAAAUUCCGAUAAACUCAUACCUCCAAAAGGGGGCCUUCGGUUGAUAGAUAAGAAUCCGCUAAUACAACUAGCUCCGUUUGUCUCAGACCUCUGAUAUACGGAGGAGGAACGUAUGUUUUAGUUCAUGGGACUCUUGAAAAAAGAGGACUCUCCGUUGGUACUCACACGAAGUUAUUUGUCUUAUAUACCUAAAAUACUACUUACGUUCGCAGCGAAGUUACACGCCGAUACCUUCCAGAAGUGGCUGACAAAAUUGACAGAGGGACACCGGCGAGAUUAACUACUAUUUUAUAAUACGUACGUACCACCGGAAAGAGGACUAGACCCUGUGGAUCUACUCUAUUUUUUGAACGGGGCAGGAUGGCUACACGGUCUAUGUCCAGAUGAUACGCUAGAAGAAACCAGACUAGGUCCUUUUCUACAGGUUCCCACCCCGUACUUACUAUCCCCGCAAAGUAAGUGUAAACCAGUACUGUUUCAAUGCCUCAAGGAAGAUUUCGUACUAGAACUAGAAUAAACGGCACGGGUGGUCCAACAGCUCCUACCCAUACUUAAGAAACGACUGUCUGUCGACCAGUGGUAUAAAAGCCGAGGGUUGAUAACACCACUUAAACUAUUACGACCUCGUUACUACUCACAACUACUUUGAAACUACACAAGUAAAGUUUAAGAGUUUGGACGGCUCUCUUUUUAGUUUAAAUACCGCAGUUUGUUUUACACUUUACUACUUCGAGAAAGGAGAAGAUCUCCGAGACUCCGAGAGUACACCUGUGUUAGUGUAGUUCUGUAGUUGCGCGUCCGCGAUACGAACUUCCGUCGUAGCCCGAUCAAGAUGACCUCUUCAGUUUAUUAUAGUAAAGAUUGUCAACGACAUCUAUAUAACUAAUACCUUCCGACUUCAAGCGUUAACUGCGUUCUACUAGGGGAGGUCGUUCUUUGUUUUUCAAGACUUAUACUCUCAAAAGACAAACCCUCAAGGUGAUAGAUUUUUCGUGGACAUAGUGAAUGACUCCAUUCUUGUUUUCGGUUCGGACACAAAGACAACGACAUUCGUUUAUAACCUACUCAAAAUAAAAUCAAAAAUCUCUCGCCAUUACCAUUGUUAAGUUUAUCAUACUCGUGUUUCUUUCGACUACGAACCACCCUUGAACUACUCUUUUAUAAGUCGUACAAGGACUACAUCCGAAGUGGAAAGUUCACGACCUACCGAAACUCAAAAACAAGUUAGUCUGGUCGUACUACCCGACAACGAACUAAUCGUAAUUGCACCUUUGUUUUAGACCGUAAGCA
rnacentral:rRNA from 1 species